UCGUCGAUAGUGCAACGGUUCAGCAAAGACUCCUCGAAAGAGUGAGUUGUGGGUUCGAAUCCCAGCUGGCGUAA